rnacentral:lncRNA from 1 species
GUUAAAAAAAGUAUGAAAGUUUUACUUAUAAAGUGAUAAAAAAAAUUGCUUGUGACAUGCCAAGAAGAAAAAAUAUGGCUCAAUUUCUCAUUUUUGUUUAUGCUUUGUUUAUCUUUCUUUCUCCCUCGCUUGCUACCAUUAGAAGUAAGUUAUUUUUCACACAAUUUUCUAUUUUCUAAUUUAUGUUAUACACAAUAUAUUUUAUCACCUUUUAGUAACAUUGUUUUUUUCUUCUUUGACAAUGCAGCUAAAACCACGUUUCCCUGCGAUUCUGACCAUGAUUGUCCAUAUUAUAUAUUUCAUUCUUCUGAGUGCGUUGAUGGUUAUUGUCAGUAUUGGAAAUCAAUUUAAUUAAGUUUAAAAAUAGGAGUAAAUUACAUCCGCAUCUCUUAAAAGAAACUUAGUUGCAAUUUCCUUUCCACUUAUGUUAAAAUGUACACUUUAAUUAGUCCAUUUUGUGAUAACAAUUCACUUUAUUACACUAUUUUAUGUCAAAAAAUGGUAAGUUAUAAUUUAAGAAAUUAAUUUUCCUUUCAUUGAAUAUUUUAUUAUUUUAGAGUAUAAAAUUAAUUUUAAAAUAGUUUCUACAUAGAAUUAUUAUUUUUUUUUUUUAAAAAAAAGACAAUUGAACUGAUUAUUUUCUUGUCCUUUUGUUUCAAUUUAAAUUUUUGUUGUUUUUCAGUUCUUUCCUCUAAACCUCAUAAAAAGGCUACACAUUAGAAAAUAAAUAAAUAAUCAAAUGUUGCCUUAUCGAUUGAGUGAGCUAAAUAACCAAAAAUAAAAUAAAAUUUGAUUACCUAUGAUAAUUUUAAUAAUGAUUCUAAUUCUAUGAAGUUCUUUUUACGAUCUAUAAGUACAACAAAUAAACAAAACAUAAUACUUUUACAAUAUGAAGUGGUCAAUACAUUUCUAUAUGUUGUAAGGUUUAUUAGGAGAAAAACCAUGGCUGAAAAUUGUUAAGUUUGUUCAUUUAAUGAUCUUCUUUAUUUCUUUAGGCCUAGUAAAUAAUUGUUUGAAUUCCUUUGAACUUUAUUGUUUAUCUCAUACAAAAUAAUUCACCAUUUUCAAUAAUAUUUGUUUUUUAUUUUUCUAUAUUACAGGAGAUGGAAGUUUAAGUUGUAGAUUUAAGCAUGAUUGUUACAAAUUUACGUUUACUUGCCUAGCUCCUACUCUUCCAAAAUGUGUUUCUUAUUAUUGUACUCCCUCUUGUCUUAUAUAUAAGAAAAUAUUUACUUUUUAGAUACAUUAUAAAGUUGAUGUAUCUAGAUAACAUUGUGUUGAGGAUAAUAUGCCUAAAUAUC